rnacentral:lncRNA from 1 species
AUGAGACCAUGUGUGGGUGAGCCGGGGGAGGGGUGCAGGGUCACAGAGCCCCUCCAAAGGCUGUGGGAACCCCAUCGGCAUGCUCCCCCGGCUCGAGCCAUAGGGCCAGGCCGGACGCUAAGGAACAUGCGGCAUCCCCGCGCAGACACGGCGCUCAGCAGACACGGCCACAGGGGGCAGAGGCCCGUGGGCCUCACCACGGCACACCUGCUGUCUGAGGUCAACACCUCCAUGAGCCGCUGUGGGAGGGAGACAGGAAGAGCCAAGGCCAGGACUGGACACAGGCUGGGGGGCGAGGGGGCCUGUGGAGAAGUCACAAGGCCUGGCCUCCCACCCCAGACACCAAGGACACUGUGGACGCUACUGGGCAAGGCCGGGAGGCCCUUCCGUCCAUCGACAUCGAUGUGCGGGGGGUGGGCACCCAGGGGUGAGUCCCGGAAGUCAGGGCUGACUGCUGGAGCCAGACGCCCCAUCCUCGGGCGCCUCCUGGUCUCUGGAGCAACGGCCCCCGGCUCUGUGCUCAGAGCUGAGGCGGGAAGAGAGCACGGUGCCCUCCCCCAAUCACACGCUGGGAGAAGGUGGCAAGAGGGAAGAUCUGGGGGCAUCGCAGGGUGGACGUGGCACAUGCCAUGUGCAGCUCAAACCCAGACAGGCCGAGCGGAGCUGCCCCGAGGACCCCAGGGACUGGCCCGAUCCAGCCAGGAGCUCGCUGGCACAAGGGUGACGGGCACUGGCUGGCGCCUCCAGAGCCUCGGCGAGGGGCCCUCACCUGGACUCCGGGCCCCACUAUCUGCGAGGCAGGGGCCGUGGGCACCGCUGUCUGCGGCGGGACCUGGGGCUGCACCUGCGGCUGCUGCACCACCAUCGGAGCCCGGACCUGCAGAGGAAGGAGCAGUGACCUGCAGCCACCAGGCCAGGGGUGGGACGCCCGCGCGUCUGGCCGAGGAGGGGCUCCUGCCGCUUCCCUGGCUGACGUCUGCUACCAGUCAACCCUCACCCGUGGCUCAUUGGCAGUGCCCACGCCAGCCUCGAGCCUUGCCUCCCUGA